rnacentral:rRNA from 1 species
UACGGGGGGGGCAAGCGUUGUUCGGAAUUACUGGGCGUAAAGGGCGCGUAGGCGGCCUGCUAAGUCGAACGUGAAAUCCCUGGGCUCAACCCAGGAACUGCGUCCGAUACUGGAUGGCUUGAAUCCGGGAGAGGGAUGCAGAAUUCCAGGUGUAGCGGUGAAAUGCGUAGAUAUCUGGAGGAAUACCGGUGGCGAAGGCGGCAUCCUGGACCGGCAUUGACGCUGAGGAGCGAAAGCUAGGGGAGCAAACGGG